GAUGAACGCUGGCGGCGUGCUUAACACAUGCAAGUCGAACGGUGAAGGCGGAGCUUGCUCUGCUGGAUCAGUGGCGAACGGGUGAGUAACACGUGAGCAAUCUGCCCCUGACUCUGGGAUAAGCGCUGGAAACGGCGUCUAAUACUGGAUACGAGCUGCGAAGGCAUCUUCAGCAGCUGGAAAGAAUUUCGUUCAGGGAUCGGCUCGCGGCCUAUCAGCUUGUUGGUGGGGUAAUGGCUCACCAAGGCGACGACGGGUAGCCGGCCUGGGAGGGGGACCGGGCACAAUGGGACUGAGGGAGGGACCAGGCGCGAACGGGCGGCAACAGUGGAAAGUAUUACACAGUGAGCGAGAGCGUGAUAUGACAGCGCCGGGUGAGGAAAGACGGCCUUCGGGUUAAAAACAUAUUUGAGAGGAGAAAAGGAGAAAGUGACGGUACCUACAGAAAAAGCGCCGGCUAACUACGUG
rnacentral:rRNA from 1 species